UUCCAGACUCCUACGGGAGGCAGCAGUGAGGAAUAUUGGUCAAUGGCCGGGAGGCUGAACCAGCCAAGUCGCGUGAGGGAAGACGGCCCUACGGGUUGUAAACCUCUUUUGUCAGGGAGCAAGGUGCAGGUCGGGACCUGCUGUGAGAGUACCUGAAGAAAAAGCAUCGGCUAACUCCGUGCCAGCAGCCGCGGUAAUACGGAGGAUGCGAGCGUUAUCCGGAUUUAUUGGGUUUAAAGGGUGCGCAGGCGGAUUUUUAAGUCAGCGGUCAAAUCGUGGGGCUCAACCCCAUCCAGCCGUUGAAACUGGGGAUCUAGAGUGUGCGAGAGGUAUGCGGAAUGCGUGGUGUAGCGGUGAAAUGCAUAGAUAUCACGCAGAACUCCGAUUGCGAAGGCAGCAUACCGGCGCCCUACUGACGCUGAGGCACGAAAGCGUGGGUAUCGAACAGGAUUAGAUACCCCGGUAU
rnacentral:rRNA from 1 species